GUUAUUUGCUAGAACAUGGAACUUCAUGUAAACUAAAUUUGAAUUUUUUUCAGAAACAGGAUUUUUGUAGUAUAACCUAUAAAAAAUCUUCACAGAACAAUAUAUAGGAAUAUGUAAUACAAUUUUACAGUCAAUUUAAAAGAGGGAUGGAAGAUAGCAAAUAGACACUUAUAGGUUAUAAUAAUAAGUCGAAGGAGAGACACAAAACCAUGACAGAAAACAAACAAAAAAAAAGAUGAAAAGAAAAACAGUCUAAAAAUACUUAUUAGAAAAAAUAAUGACAGCACUAAAAUUCACCAGAAACCUGGGAUUUAACUUUAUAAAAAAAACAGUAUAAAAAAUACUCUGAAGAAAAAAUAAAAACAGC
rnacentral:lncRNA from 1 species